UACAGAGGGUGCGAGCGUUGUCCGGAAUCACUGGGCGUAAAGGGCGCGUAGGUGGCGCGACAAGUCAGUGGUGAAAGUUCGACGCUCAACGUCGAAUCGGCCACUGAUACUGUUGGGCUUGAGCACUGUAGAGGCUAAUGGAAUUCCGGGUGUAGCGGUGGAAUUCGUAGAUAUUCGCAAGAACACCAGUGGCGAAGGCGGCUCACUGGCCCGAUACUGACGCUGAGGCACGAAAGCGUGGGGAGCAAACAGGGAGUUAGAAACC
rnacentral:rRNA from 1 species